UACGGGGGGGGCAAGCGUUGUUCGGAAUUACUGGGCGUAAAGGGCUCGUAGGCGGCCAACUAAGUCGGACGUGAAAUCCCCAGGCUCAACCUGGGAACUGCGUCCGAUACUGGAUGGCUUGAAUCCGGGAGAGGGAUGCAGAAUUCCAGGUGUAGCGGUGAAAUGCGUAGAUAUCUGGAGGAAUACCGGUGGCGAAGGCGGCAGCCUGGACCGGCAUUGACGCUGAGGCGCGAAAGCUAGGGGAGCAAACGGG
rnacentral:rRNA from 1 species